rnacentral:rRNA from 1 species
GGAAACAGGUGCUAAUACCGCAUAACAGUUUAUGCCGCAUGGCAUAAGAGUGAAAGGCGCUUUCGGGUGUCGCUGAUGGAUGGACCCGCGGUGCAUUAGCUAGUUGGUGAGGUAACGGCUCACCAAGGCCACGAUGCAUAGCCGACCUGAGAGGGUGAUCGGCCACACUGGGACUGAGACACGGCCCAGACUCCUACGGGAGGCAGCAGUAGGGAAUCUUCGGCAAUGGACGAAAGUCUGACCGAGCAACGCCGCGUGAGUGAAGAAGGUUUUCGGAUCGUAAAACUCUGUUGUUAGAGAAGAACAAGGACGUUAGUAACUGAACGUCCCCUGACGGUAUCUAACCAGAAAGCCACGGCUAACUACGUGCCAGCAGCCGCGGUAAUACGUAGGUGGCAAGCGUUGUCCGGAUUUAUUGGGCGUAAAGCGAGCGCAGGCGGUUUCUUAAGUCUGAUGUGAAAGCCCCCGGCUCAACCGGGGAGGGUCAUUGGAAACUGGGAGACUUGAGUGCAGAAGAGGAGAGUGGAAUUCCAUGUGUAGCGGUGAAAUGCGUAGAUAUAUGGAGGAACACCAGUGGCGAAGGCGGCUCUCUGGUCUGUAACUGACGCUGAGGCUCGAAAGCGUGGGGAGCGAACAGGAUUAGAUACCCUGGUAGUCCACGCCGUAAACGAU